rnacentral:rRNA from 1 species
UACGUAGGUGGCAAGCGUUUGUCCGGAAUUAUUGGGCGUAAAGCGCGCGCAGGCGGUCCUUUAAGUCUGAUGUGAAAGCCCACGGCUCAACCGUGGAGGGUCAUUGGAAACUGGGGGACUUGAGUACAGAAGAGGAGAGUGGAAUUCCCGGUGUAGCGGUGAAAUGCGCAGAUAUCGGGAAGAACACCCGUGGCGAAGGCGGCUCUCUGGGACGGUACUGACGCUGAGACGCGAAAGCGUGGGGAGCGAACAGG